rnacentral:lncRNA from 1 species
GAGGUUCAUGAAUAUGUUAUCACUUUGGUUUUGAUAAUACUUUGAGGUUUAUUAUCAAAUUUGUGUAUAAUGUUUCCAUUAUUGCUCCUAUAUGUAAUAAUUUGAUUCUCAUAAUAAAGUCAUUUUUGAAGAAUUACAACAUGUUUGAUAUUUAAUUGUAUUUCUCUUUUUUUUCCUACUUCAAACGGCUCUUUAAGCUUUCAUAUACUUACCUCUCUCAUAUUUGGCUUGUUCCUGAGAUUCGAUGAUAGAA